rnacentral:rRNA from 1 species
UACGUAGGGGGCAAGCGUUGUCCGGAUUUACUGGGCGUAAAGAGCGCGCAGGCGGUCGUUCAAGUCGAGUGUGAAAGCCCCCGGCUCAACUGGGGAGGGUCACUCGAUACUGAUCGACUCGAAGGCAGAAGAGGGAAGCGGAAUUCCCGGUGUAGUGGUGAAAUGCGUAGAUAUCGGGAGGAACACCAGUGGCGAAGGCGGCUUUCUGGUCUGCUCUUGACGCUGAGGCGCGAAAGCUAGGGUAGCAAACGGG